rnacentral:rRNA from 1 species
AACGAACGCUGGCGGCAUGCCUAACACAUGCAAGUCGAACGAGACCUUCGGGUCUAGUGGCGCACGGGUGCGUAACGCGUGGGAACCUGCCCUUAGGUUCGGAAUAACUCCCCGAAAGGGGUGCUAAUACCGGAUAAUGUCUUCGGACCAAAGAUUUAUCGCCUUUGGGUGGGCCCGCGUUGGAUUAGCUAGUUGGUAGGGUAAAAGCCUACCAAGGCGACGAUCCAUAGCUGGUCUGAGAGGAUGAUCAGCCACACUGGGACUGAGACACGGCCCAGACUCCUACGGGAGGCAGCAGUGGGGAAUAUUGGACACUGGGCGAAAGUCUGAUCCAGCCACGCCGCGUGAGUGAUGGAGGCCUUAGGGUUGUAAAGCUGUUUUACCCGGGAUGAUAAUGACAGUACCGGGAGAAUAAGCUCCGGCUAACUACGUG